rnacentral:lncRNA from 1 species
AUGAUUCACCUCGGCACUGUCUUCCGGACACAGGCGAAUAUCGCAGGAGCACUGGUCAGAUGCUGCUGGGUGCCUGCUGGACAAGCGAGCCAGAGGAACACCAAGGCCCUGCCCUCGAGGGGCAUGCCAGGUCUCGGGGCCCUAGACCAGGAGUCCUUCCAAGGGGCCUGCCACACUCCUCACGUUUCAAAAUGAAUUUCCACCCUUAACAUUAUACCCUCUGUCAAGUUCAAAGAGCCUUUGCAUUUUGUUUGUUUGAAACAGGGUCUCACUGUGUCACCCAGGCUGGAGUGCAAUGGCAUGACCUUGGCUCACUGCAGCCUCAGCCUCGUGGACUCCAGGGAUCCUCCCACUACAGCCCCCCAAUUAUAGCUGGGACUACAGGCAUGUCCCACCACACCCUGCUAAUUUUUGCAUUUUUUUGUAGAGAUGGGAUUUUGCCAUGCUGCCCAGGCUGGUCUUGAACUCCUAAGCUCAAGCAAUCCUCCCACCUUGGCCUCCUAAAGUGGUGGGAUUACAGGUGUGAGCCACUGUGCCUGGCUGCAGAUGAUUUUCUUUGAUUCAGCCCAUCUCACUGUGGUUUUUCUUUCUAUAGAAACCCCAGCAUUCCCAAUAAGGACCCUUGGUGCUUCUGGAAAGGAGUAUUGAAGCACCAGCCUUCCUUUCCAAAAUUCUAACCCAAGUUCUGGAACCAUUUCUAGAUGUGUGUGUGUACAUACAUAUACAUGUAUAUAAGUAUUUGCAUAUGUGUGUAUAUAUUAAAAUUUAUAUAUUUACUCUCAUAGAUGCAUGUAUUCAUACAUAUUGUACAUACAUAUGCAUAUCUACGUAUGUAUAUUUAAAUUUCUGUUUGUCCCUCAUUUUUUCUUCAUACUAGAAAAACGCAAUAUUGACAAAGAAAAUCAAACAUGAAUUGGUUUGUAGGUCUAGAUGUCACAGCAGUGACUGCAGGCAUUUCGUAAUAAUCCCUGGGUCAUCUCUCUAAGCCUGCCACCAUUUGGAAGUGAGUAAUAUUAUACAGUUCCAGUUACAAAGCCACUGGACUUGACUAAAUCCUCA